CCCUUAGAUGUUCUGGGCCGCACGCGCGCUACACUGAAUGGAUCAACGUGUUUUCCCUUCCCGAGAGGGACGGGUAACCCGCUGAACCCCAUUCGUGGUAGGGAUCGGAGCUUGCAAUUGUUCUCCGUGAACCAGGAAUUCCCAGUAAGCGCAAGUCAUAAGCUUGCGUUGAUUACGUCCCUGCCCUUUGUACACACCGCCCGUCGCACCUACCGAUUGAAUGGUCCGGUGAAGCCUCGGGAUUGCGAAUGCUUCGCGCGGACGCGAGAACUUGGCUAAACCUUACCAUUUAGAGGAAGGUGAAGUCGUAACA
rnacentral:rRNA from 1 species